rnacentral:rRNA from 1 species
AUACGGAGGAUCCGAGCGUUAUCCGGAUUUAUUGGGUUUAAAGGGUGCGUAGGCGGGACUGUAAGUCAGGGGUGAAAUACUGCAGCUUAACUGUAGCCUUGCCUUUGAAACUGCCGUUCUUGAGUACAGUUGAGGUAGGCGGAAUGUGGGGUGUAGCGGUGAAAUGCAUAGAUAUACCACAGAACGCCGAUUGCGAAGGCAGCUUACUAAGCUGUUACUGACGCUGAGGCACGAAAGCGUGGGGAUCAAACAGGAUUAGAUACCCUGGUAGUCCACGCUGUAAACGAUGAUUACUGGUUGUUAGCGAUAUAUAGCUAGUGACUGAGCGAAAGCAUUAAGUAAUCCACCUGGGGAGUACGUCGGCAACGAUGAAACUCAAAGGAAUGGACGGGG